CAUUCCUCAGGGGCCACAUCUUUUCAUUUGACGUAAAAAGCUGGACAUUGAGUUGUAAACUCUCUCUGAGAGAAGCAGAAACUGAGGCUCACUGUAAGCAGGCAAGAGAGACUGCCUUGGGAAGUUGAUUCUUCACCUGUACACAGAAUAUCUGCACUUAUUUUCUGUGUUGCAAUGUUCUCCUAGGAAGUACUUGGGGAUCCAUUGAUAAGAACACUGAAACACAGAAGGUUAAACAACUUCUCUAAUAUUCAGACCACCUGUUUCUACUGCUCUGCUAAGCUGCUGUAUGAUAAGCCAUAGUCAUUCUGGUGUUAUCCUCCAAUGGUGAUGAGCCUGUAGGGCCUCACAUGACCUGAUUCCUGCCUACCACUUUGAUUCCAUCAAGAACCACUCUCCACUUCCCAAGUGCCAGCAUAUAGUUUUCUUCCUCCUCAGAUAACAUCCCUGGCUGUUUCCUGCCUUAGGAUCCUUAUAAUACUGACUCAUUGUAGUACUUAUAGU